GUCGGCUACGUGGACGACACGCAGUUCGUGCGGUUCGACAGCGACGCCCCGAAUCCGAGGAUGGAGCCGCGGGCGCGGUGGGUGGAGCAGGUGGGGCCCGAGUAUUGGGAUCUGGAGACGCAGAACGCCGAGGGCAACGCACAGACCUUCCGAGCGAACCUGAACACCCUGCGCGGCUACUACAACCAGAGCGAGGCCGGGUCUCACACUCUCCAGGAGGUGACCGGCUGCGACGUGGGGCCGGACGGACGCCUCCUCCGCGGGUAUGAUCAGUUCGCCUACGACGGCAGAGAUUACCUCGCCCUGAACGAGGACCUGCGCUCCUGGACCGCGGCGGACACGGCUGCUCAGAUCACCAAACACAAGAUUGAGCAGCGCGGUGUGACGGAUCACGACAGGAACUACCUGGAGGGCACGUGCGUGGAGUGGCUCCACAGACACCUGGAGAACGGGAAGGACACGCUGCUGCGCGCAGACCCUCCAAAGGCACAUGUGACGCAUCACCCCAUCUCUGACCGUGAGGUCACCCUGAGGUGCUGGGCCCUGGGCUUCUACCCUGAGGAGAUCUCACUGACCUGGCAACGCGCAGUGGAGAGGACCAGACCCAGGACAUGGAGCUUGUGGAGACCAGGCCUUCAGGAGAUGGAACCUUCCAGAAGUGGGCGGCCCUGGUGGUGCCUUCUGGAGAGGAGCAGAGAUACACAUGCCGUGUGCAGCACGAGGGGCUUCAGGAGCCCCUCACCCUGAGAUGGGAACCUCCUCGGACCUCCUUCCUCACCGUGGGCAUCAUUGUUGGCCUGGUUCUCCUCGUGGUGGCUAUGGUGGCUGGAGCUGUGAUCUGGAGGAAGAAGCACUCAGGUGAAAAAGGACGGAUCUACACCCAGGCUGCAAGCAGUGACAGUGCCCAGGGUUCUGAUGUGUCUCUCAUGGUUCCUAAAAGUGAGACCCUUGAGAGUCUAGACUGGAAGGGGGAUUGGGGCAGAGGGGACACAUUGGGUGGCGGGGAUCUUUGAGUGGGAUAUGUGAGC